rnacentral:rRNA from 1 species
AACAAAAACAUGUCUUUUUGAGUAUUUAUUUAAAGUCUGACCUGCUCUAUGAUAUAUUUAAUGGCCGCAGUAUAUUGACUGUGCAAAGGUAGCAUAAUCAUUAGUUUUUUAAUUAAGAACUGGAAUGAACGGUUGGACGAAAUAAUAACUGUCUUAUUUUAAUUUAUAAUAGAAUUUUAUUUUUUAGUAAAAAAGCUUAAAUUGUAUUAAAAGACGAGAAGACCCUAUAAAUCUUUAUUAUUAAUUAAUUGAUUAAUUUAUAGAUUUAUUUUUUAAUUAAUUAAUUAUUAAUUUUAUUGGGGUGAUAUUGAAAUUUAAUUAACUUUUAAUAUAAUAUAACAUGAAUUAAUGAAUUAUUGAUCUUUUAUUAAUGAUUAUAAGAAUAAGUUACUUUAGGGAUAACAGCGUAAUUUUUUUGGAGAGUUCUUAUCGAUAGAAAAGAUUGCGACCUCGAUGUUGGAUUAAGAUUCUAAUUUAAAUGCAAAAGUUUAAAUUUUAAGUCUGUUCGACUUUUAAAAUCUUACAUGAUC